rnacentral:rRNA from 1 species
GACGAACGCUGGCGGCGUGCCUAAUACAUGCAAGUUGAGCGGUGAAGGCUGGUACUUGUGCCAACUGCGUGAGCCGCGAACGGGUGAGUAACGCGUGGGAAAUCUGCCUGUGAGCGGGGGAACACAUGGGGAAACGGAUGCUAAUACCGCAUAAAAACUUUAAACACAAGUGGUGAUGGUGAAAGAUGCCAUUGCAUCACGCAAAGAUGGUCCCGCGUUGUAUUAGCUAGGUGGUGCGGUAAAAGCUCACCAAGGCGAUGAUACAUAGACGACCUGAGAGGGUGGUCGGCCAGACUGGGACUGUGACAGGCCCCAAACGCCCACAGGAAGGAGCAGGAGGGAAUCUUGGGCCAUGGGCGGAAGAUUGAGCGCGCAAGGCGGAGUCCGUGAAGAGGGUCUUCGCAUCGUAAAACUCUGUUUGUAGGUAAGAACGCUCGUUCGAGUGUAAAGCACAGUGAGUGACGGUAACUACCCAGAAAGCGACGGCUAACUACGUG